rnacentral:rRNA from 1 species
UUCGAAAGGGGAGAUUCAGGUCUCGCCGCGCGUCGGGCGGCUCCCGCGACCAGAGAUGGCGCCUUCGCGGCCCGGGGGCAACCCCGGGUCCGGAGGUGCCACUCCGCGGGCGCCGCCGGUCCCGGCGUCGGAGUGACGCACUUCUCCCCGAGUAGGACGUCGCGACCCGUCGAGCGUCUGCCUAAGGUCCCGGGUGGAGCCUGCGCAGCCUGCUCACGCCGGCUGCGCACGACCCCGGGAAUCCCGGCGGGGUGCACGACGGUACGAAGCGAGGAAGGAGUCGACGCGCCGCCCUUUUCUCGGCGUCCGGCCCUCCGCAAGCGCCCGCGGGAGUCCGGGUUUCCGGACCUGGUCCGAUCCCGGACCCUCCGCGGGGCUGUUUGCGAUUCGGAGGUGUCCUCGGACGGCGUCGAUUCUCCAGUCGGCGACGCUUCAGCUUGGAUGGCCUACCCGA